rnacentral:rRNA from 1 species
AAUCAACGCUGGCGGCGUGCCUCAGACAUGCAAGUCGAACGCGAAAGUCCCCUUCGGGGGACAAGUAGAGUGGCGCACGGGUGAGUAACACGUAGGUAAUCUACCUUCGGAUGGGGAAUAACAACCGGAAACGGUUGCUAAUACCGCAUAAUGCAGCGGCACCUAAUGGUGACAGUCGUUAAAGCGGGGGAUCGAAAGACCUCGCGUCUGAAGAGGAGCCUGCGGCGGAUUAGCUAGNGGUAAGGUAAUGGCUUACCAAGGCGACGAUCCGUAGCCGGCCUGAGAGGGGCGGUCGGCCACACUGACACUGACAUACGGGUCAGACUCCUACGGGAGGCAGCAGUCGGGAAUUUUGGGCAAUGGGCGAAAGCCUGACCCAGCACG